UUCAUGUCCCGUUCGAGUGCUCCGGUAUCCCUGAUCGACAACCCGUGUGUACCGACCUUCGCCUGUUCUCCGACCAACCUUUCCUGCAUUUGGGUCCGACUCCCGUUCCGAUGGGAUGUGACAGGUGCUCAUGGCAGCCACGGUUGAGAACACCGAUAUAGACAAAAUGGGAUGCCUGUGAGACAAUGCAGCUCGGGACUGGCAAACGUGUCAUCCUCAUUGUGAUGCAUAACUGGCAAGUUUGCUAAACUGUCAAAACAUUUGCCAUGGCAGUGACGCCACUGAUGAGGAAGUGAAUAAGAUGUGUUAGAAUGUGAUGCACGCAACAGAACAUGAGCUACCAUGUUAGGGAUGACACAGUUUGGAAGCAUUAUGUAAUGUGACAGAAGCAGUAGAUCAUCUCGAAGCUUCAUGUGUACUCAUUGACCCCUGCUGGCUGAACCCAGGAUUCAUUUCAGGUGCAGUCUGUCUUGCAAUGUUUGCGUGGGAGUAAUCUGUUAAAUUUUAUUUCAUCAUAACCCCACCAUGAUCUUGUGUGGUUCAUUCAUCUAAUCUUUUAAUGAUGUAUAAGCCGAUAUUAGUAAAUGGUAAAUAUAAAACAAAUGCAAUGUGAUGUUUAUGCAACUUUUGGAAUGUAUGUGGAGGAGGUAAUCGUAAA